rnacentral:rRNA from 1 species
AUGAACACUGCACCAGAGCAUUGGAGUAGGGCUUACUUCAAGCUAGGGUCUUGGUGUGACUUGGUGGAGAACAAUCUUUGUAAAUCAUUCAACAAUACUAUUAUGAAAGCAAGGUUCUUUCCUGUAAUCAUAGCAAAUGAGAUCAUUAGGAAAAAGGUGGUGACACAGAUCCGGGAAAAUAGAGAUAAAUCUAACAAAUGGCCUGGAACCAUUUGCCCAAACAUUUUCAAAAAACUGAAACUAAACAUUAAGAGGUGA